UGCGUAGGCGGGGCAAUUAGUCAGUGGUGAAAUCCUGCGGCUUAACCGUAGAACUGCCAUUGAUACUGUUGCCCUUGAGUAUAGUUGAAGUGGGCGGAAUGUGUAAUGUAGCGGUGAAAUGCAUAGAGAUUACACAGAACACCAAUUGCGAAGGCAGCUCACUAAGCUAAAACUGACGCUGAGGCACGAAAGCGUGGGGAGCGAACAGGAUUAGAUACCCUGGUAGUCC
rnacentral:rRNA from 1 species